UGAUUUGUCCUCCGUGUUAGUGCCCUCCUUCCCCCUGGGAGCUGCUUGAGGGUCGGGGCAGAGAGAGAACCAGACCGUGAUAUAAAGGCAAUAAUUCACUCUUUGUGGUCUGAAACAGAUGACAGCUUGUUCCUUUUCCACAGGACCUGAAGGAGAAGAAGGAAAAAGUAGAGGAGAAGACUAGCCGGAAAGAGAGGAAGAAAGACGUGGUAGAGGAGGAGGAGAACGGAGCCGAGGAGGAGGAGGAGGAGACCGCAGAAGAUGGAGAAGAUGAUGAUGAGGGUGAGGAGGAAGAUGAGGAAGAGGAGGAAGAUGAUGACGAAGGGCCCGCACUGAAGAGAGCUGCUGAGGAUGAGGAUGAAGCCGAUCCCAAAAGGCAGAAGACAGAAAAUGGGGCAUCGGUGUGAGCCUCAGCCAUCUGGGCUGAGGGUGGGGAGGACCCCAUGGGGCCUGGAAGUGAGAUGGGGAGGGAUAAGUGCUGGCUCCCUGCUCUGGAUUCCUCCCCAGAGCUGUCCCCCUCCUGUUCUCCCCAGCCUUCUUACUGUCCCCUCUCCAGAUAUCCCAAUUUUUACCUCUCCAUUCCUUCACCUCCUGAACUCUCCCUAGCCCCGAGCUCCCCAGCUGAUCCCCAGACUACUCUUCUUUUCCAUAUCCUCAUAUCUCCUCCCAUCCCCCAGUUGAUUCCUCAAAAUCCGAUUCUGCCCCCUUUCCACAUUCCUAGAUUUCUCCUUCUGCCUUCUCUCCCACUCUCCCUGCCUGAUCCCUGGAUCUCCCUCAGAUUCCCCACCCCCUCACAGCACCAGGCUGGGGUAGGGGCUGAGCCCCACAGCUGCCCCCUCUCCCCUUUAUCCUUUUUGUAUAAUUUAAUAAAGAAAUGGUCGCGCUUCUGUUUUUAA